AAAUACCUCAUAACUCAUUCACCAAACCCUAAUACGCCGUUCAAUCUCUCUGCCGAUUCUCCCCUACCUUCGAUGCACAACUGCAAACCCUAGAGGUUAUCCACAACUGUGAUCAACAUAAAUCAACGUAAUUGUCCAGUUCACUACAUAGUCGUUGCCAUCUACAUUGAAAUCGACGCACACAUCAAAAACCCUAAAAGCUCCCACGUUCUUCUUCAAUCGCCUGACAAAGGAUUCCAAAAUCAAACCGAUUCACUUCCAGGCACGUCGAUUCUGUAGAUAUUGAUUCUAUACUUUACAUUCGUUUAUCAAUUCAUUUUUUUUUCUAAAAUUUGUUUGUUUCGUCAACCAAGAGGAAGAUGGUGAAGGCGCUGUCUUAAAGAAGCAGAUCAAGGAUGUUUUGACAGUUGCUGGAAACCCUAAGCAAGACCAACAAGUGCGAUGGAUUGCAUGAGUAGCGGCGGUGAAGAGGAAGAUUAUUAUUAUUAUUACUCUCAUCGGGAUUCGACAAUCCGCUUGAGGACCAAGAAUCUAAUUCUCAGUGCCCGCGCCCUUCAUCCAAGGAGCAGAAACAACGACGCACCCAGCUUGAAAAUGCGGUCAAGCCCGGUCAAUGACAGCAAGCUAGCUAUAUUCAGUCCUAAAAAGACAAAAGAAAUCGACUCGGCUGAUUGAGCUUGAUUGGAAUGUAGGGCUUCAAAUAAAGUGGUGGAACUAGGCAAAAACUCGCCUUUGGUGGUAUCAUCUUUUAAUGUGUAUGUCACUGGAGGUGGGUUCCAUGGGGUCACGUUUGUGCAACAAAUAGUGCGAUGUUUUGUGGCUAACCGAGGAAAGGAGAACCUGUAGUUUGCAGGUUUCCAAAACUUGUGGUCUGUAGAUUGGACUUUUGAAAGAACCAUUGACGCCAUUGUAGACGGAGGUCGAACAACAGAAGCCAUUUUAUAUUCCUGCUAGAUGAGGGUCUCCUCUAGUAUUGUUUUUUUUUCUGGUGUUUUGGUGCCUGGUUGCGUGGUGGUGUCGAGUCAUGGGUCAUGGCUCAAGUUAUACAGUUGGAACUCAAUGGGUCGGGCUUGUACGGUAUGUUGAUGGCUUAUACUUCUUAAUCCUCUUUCUUUAUUUAAAGAUAUUAACCUUGCUAUAUAUUUUGUUAAUACGGUAUAUACACCCUUAUCUUUUAGCCUCAUACUACAAUAAAGCUUGAUGAACCGACCAGCUAUAUGCAACACUUGAUGAACUUUUUCAGAUACUUGCACUUUGAGUUCUACUGCAUUUGUGGGCAUGUACAUAUUGAGUGCCUAUCUCUUCUUUGUGAACAAAUUUAGGAUUUUUUUUUAUAAAAAAUAGUUAUCUUUUAGCCUCAUACUACAAUAAAGCUUCAUUCCUUGAUUUAAAGAAAAAAUUUAAUGGUUUUGAUGGUGCGUACUAUUUGCUUAAUGAAAAGGGUGAAAAGGUUAAGGACAAGUUGGGAUGAGAUUUAUGUUUUAAUAAAUUUGGCCAUAUCAUGCCACCUACUUAUUUAAAUCUCUAAAUAUGGCCAGGGGCGGACCUAGCAUAGAACAAGGGGCAACCUCCGUUGCCUUUUGACGCUCCGGCAGUAGUGUAAAAUUAGUGUAAAUUUUGAAAAAAAAUUGACGUUUGAUUAGUAAUUUUUCUUAUCCUACAUAAGCAAAAUUAGUAAUUUUUCUUUAAGUUUACUUAUCAGUUAUUAUUACUAUUACGCUUGAUUAAUUCAUGGGUUGAAUAAAAUAUUACUUUAAACUAAUAUGAUGGCUUGCAGAUAAGUUUGUCGCAAUGUUUGUAGAGAAAACUGGGUACCCGAUUGUUGAGCCUGCUCAUAUGGAGUUGGCAUACAAGAUGCAUUUCGUUCAUGUGUUUAAAAAGGUGCAAGUCGUGUAAGUGUGAGCCCAUUUUUUCUAUUCCCAUGGCAACAUUGGCACCAGGUUUGUUUCAAGGUGUCGAGGGGGAGGGGUGGUCAAUACAGUUCUGGAAGGAUAGAGUCAACAGUAUCGCUGUAGAAGAACCCCAUUCAAAACUGCCUCCCAAAUCUGUAUUGGAUAAGAAGGGGUUACAAUUCUUAAGUUGCAUUGGGUAAGAAGGCCACGUUCUACGGAAGAGGUAAUGGACUUAGAUGGACUAAUGGCAGUUCUUGCUAAUAUUAGUUUGGAACUGGACUCGAUAAGUGGGAGAAGGCAGAAUGACAUGAUAUUUAAUAGGAGACAAGUUACGCUAUCAAGUCUGAUGGAGGAGAUUAAAGUUCUUAGCUACUUGUGUAUUCAAAAUCGUUAAAAAUCGUAUGGGCUUACGUGGGAAUUAUUGUUCAGCUUUAAUAUAGAUUGUAUGGGUGUAUGAUUAUAGUCUAGAUAUAGCUGGCGGUUAUGCAAUGGGAUAACUGGUUAUUAGUUA